rnacentral:rRNA from 1 species
UGAGGAAUAUUGGUCAAUGGUCGCUAGACUGAACCGGCCAAGUAGCGUGCGGGAUGAAGGCCCUCCGGGUCGUAAACCGCUUUUAGACGGGGAUAAAAGGGCGUACGUGUACGCCGUAUUGCAUGUACCGUCAGAAAAAGGACCGGCUAAUUCCGUGCCAGCAGCCGCGGUAAUACGGAAGGUCCGGGCGUUAUCCGGAUUUAUUGGGUUUAAAGGGAGCGUAGGCGGACUUUCAAGUCAGUGGUAAAAUCGUGUGGCUCAACCAUACCUCGCCAUUGAAACUGGAAGUCUGGAGUGCACACAGGGGUGCCGGAAUUCAUGGUGUAGCGGUGAAAUGCUUAGAUAUCAUGAAGAACUCCGAUCGCGAAGGCAAGUGCCCGGGGUGCAACUGACACUGAGGCUCGAAGGUGCGGGUAUCGAACAGGAUUAGAUACC